UCACUACAGUCAAUCUCCCUCAGCCUACCAGCACUGCCACCGCUAAUCUCCCUCAGCCUACCAGAACCGCCACCAUGGAUCCACCAAAAUUCCAGGUCCGAAGUUGAAGCAACAUGCAAACCCAUCAUCUCCACCCAAAGCCACACUACCAAAAAACUCAUAUCUAGAACUUCACCACCGUCAAAUCUAGCUCGCCGGAGAUGGAGUAAGCCACGAUCAUCACAUCCACCCACAACGUAGGUACACAAAGCCAGAUCCACCUGAAGCACUUUCUGCGCGGCAACGAACUGUCCAGCCUUCACAUAAAACCCUUUGUUGGCUUCGCAUAACCUCAGAAGCCUCUCAGCACAGCGUAGAUGAACCUGAAGAGCACCAAAAAAUCGAUCACCAUCUCAACACAAAAUCAAAACAGUUAUUUCUCAAUUUGUUGGCAAUUCUCGGUGCCGAUUGGAAACUACGAGAACGAGUUGCAGAAAACCUGGGAAAUCUCUUGGCGAUACUGAUCGGAGUGGCGUUGAAGGCCGCGCAGCGAGAAUCCGUAGUCAACGACGGUGGCAGCGACCUGAAAGAUUGGAGAUGGAAGAAUGUGAGGAGUUAAACGAGGAGGAAAAUGGAGGGAAUCGGGAUCGAAUCGGUUACCGUGGAGACGGCGCAAGCGGUGCUGACGAGGUCGUAGAUUUCGAAAGAGUACUCUCUCUGAACCACUCCACCCAAAGCCACCCCUCCAAACACCCAGAUCCAAAAUCACAUUAGCAAAACCCAGAUCCGAAAUUGCAUGGCUUCCUACCAGCACUGCCACCGCUAAUCUCCCUCAGCCUACCAGAACCGCCACCAUGGAUCCACCAAAAUUCCAGGUCCGAAGUUGAAGCAACAUGCAAACCCAUCAUCUCCACCCAAAGCCACACUACCAAAAAACUCAUAUCUAGAACUUCACCACCGUCAAAUCUAGCUCGCCGGAGAUGGAGUAAGCCACGAUCAUCACAUCCACCCACA
rnacentral:lncRNA from 1 species